CGCUAGCCAUAAGCGUAACACAUGCAAGUCGAGGGGCAGCAUGAAGCUUGCUUGCAAACUUUGAUGGCGACCGGCGCACGGGUGAGUAACACGUAUCCAACCUGCCGAUAACUCGGGGAUAGCCUUUCGAAAGAAAGAUUAAUACCCGAUGGCAUGGGAAGACCGCAUGGUUUUUCCACUAAAGAAUUUCGGUUAUCGAUGGGGAUGCGUUCCAUUAGAUAGUAGGCGGGGUAACGGCCCACCUAGUCAACGAUGGUUAGGGGUUCUGAGAGGAAGGUCCCCCACAUUGGAACUGAGACACGGUCCAAACUCCUACGGGAGGCAGCAGUGAGGAAUAUUGGUCAAUGGACGAGAGUCUGAACCAGCCAAGUAGCGUGAAGGAUGACUGCCCUAUGGGUUGUAAACUUCUUUUAUACGGGAAUAAAGUGUUCCACGUGUGGAAUUUUGUAUGUAUCGUAUGAAUAAGGAUCGGCUAACUCCGUGCCAGCAGCCGCGGUAAUACGGAGGAUCCGAGCGUUAUCCGGAUUUAUUGGGUUUAAAGGGAGCGUAGGUGGAAGAUUAAGUCAGCCUGUGAAAGUUUGCGGCUCAACCGUAAAAUUGCAGUUGAUACUGGUUUUCUUGAGUGCAGUAGAGGUGGGCGGAAUUCGUGGUGUAGCGGUGAAAUGCUUAGAUAUCACGAAGAACUCCGAUUG
rnacentral:rRNA from 1 species